rnacentral:rRNA from 1 species
GAUGAACGCUGGCGGCGUGCCUAAUACAUGCAAGUCGAGCGAACGGACGAGAAGCUUGCUUCUCUGAUGUUAGCGGCGGACGGGUGAGUAACACGUGGAUAACCUACCUAUAAGACUGGGAUAACUUCGGGAAACCGGAGCUAGUACCGGAUAAUAUUUUGAACCGCAUGGUUCAAAAGUGAAAGACGGUCUUGCUGUCACUUAUAGAUGGAUCCGCGCUGCAUUAGCUAGUUGGUAAGGUAACGGCUUACCAAGGCAACGAUGCAUAGCCGACCUGAGAGGGUGAUCGGCCACACUGGAACUGAGACACGGUCCAGACUCCUACGGGAGGCAGCAGUAGGGAAUCUUCCGCAAUGGGCGAAAGCCUGACGGAGCAACGCCGCGUGAGUGAUGAAGGUCUUCGGAUCGUAAAACUCUGUUAUUAGGGAAGAACAUAUGUGUAAGUAACUGUGCACAUCUUGACGGUACCUAAUCAGAAAGCCACGGCUAACUACGUGCCAGCAGCCGCGGUAAUACGUAGGUGGCAAGCGUUAUCCGGAAUUAUUGGGCGUAAAGCGCGCGUAGGCGGUUUUUUAAGUCUGAUGUGAAAGCCCACGGCUCAACCGUGGAGGGUCAUUGGAAACUGGAAAACUUGAGUGCAGAAGAGGAAAGUGGAAUUCCAUGUGUAGCGGUGAAAUGCGCAGAGAUAUGGAGGAACACCAGUGGCGAAGGCGACUUUCUGGUCUGUAACUGACGCUGAUGUGCGAAAGCGUGGGGAUCAAACAGGAUUAGAUACCCUGGUAGUCCACGCCGUAAACGAUGAGUGCUAAGUGUUAGGGGGUUUCCGCCCCUUAGUGCUGCAGCUAACGCAUUAAGCACUCCGCCUGGGGAGUACGACCGCAAGGUUGAAACUCAAAGGAACUGACGGGGACCCGCACAAGCGGUGGAGCAUGUGGUUUAAUUCGAAGCAACGCGAAGAACCUUACCAAAUCUUGACAUCCUUUGACAACUCUAGAGAUAGAGCCUUCCCCUUCGGGGGACAAAGUGACAGGUGGUGCAUGGUUGUCGUCAGCUCGUGUCGUGAGAUGUUGGGUUAAGUCCCGCAACGAGCGCAACCCUUAAGCUUAGUUGCCAUCAUUAAGUUGGGCACUCUAAGUUGACUGCCGGUGACAAACCGGAGGAAGGUGGGGAUGACGUCAAAUCAUCAUGCCCCUUAUGAUUUGGGCUACACACGUGCUACAAUGGACAAUACAAAGGGCAGCGAAACCGCGAGGUCAAGCAAAUCCCAUAAAGUUGUUCACAGUUCGGAUUGUAGUCUGCAACUCGACUACAUGAAGCUGGAAUCGCUAGUAAUCGUAGAUCAGCAUGCUACGGUGAAUACGUUCCCGGGUCU